CCAACUCUGAGAUCAAGACCUGAGCUGAGAGACCCAGAGUCAGAUGCUCAACCGACUGAGCUCCCCAGCCCCCCUGAGGAUAUGAAUCAUUAAAAUACUUUGGUUGAUCCCUCUUGUCAUGGCUCAGGUCCCAGUGAGCUGCACGUUCAGUGAAAAAGAUGUACGUCCUGCUGUAGUCAUUUUACUUUUGCCUGGUCUACCCUCCAGGCCCCGUCACUGUACCCCCUUGGCAAAGCCAUGAGCAACCAGAGCUGCAGUUAGGGCUGGAUGUCAGCCACAGAGCAGGCCCAGCAGAACCCCGUGAUGCCAGCCCACCCGGUGGUUUCCAAGGCAACCCCUGAUGUCUCCCUCCCCGGGCUGAAGGGGGGAGCCCGGGAGCCUCUCUCCUGACGUGGCUCUGAAGAGAACCAGCACCCGGCGAGGACUCUGGUUCCAGGCCUGUUUCCGAUUUUUCUAUGGAAGGAUAAGUCCUACGUUUAUCUGCCCCAGUGCUGAGAUGAGGAUUUGAAUUUAAACGGAACUCUUGGGUGGUGGACACGGAAGAUCACUGGGCUGAGAAAUCACUGGGUGACCCUCCAAGGAUGAAGAAGUAACGGGGUUUUCUGAUUUGUAACAGAACAAAAAUUAGACAUGAGCAAUGCUGCUGUUCCUUGAACUGGAUUAUUGUAAAGAUCCAAUAAGGAAAACUGAUUUUUAUGAACCAACCAACAAGCAUUGCAUAAUUUGGAAGUUGUGGCGCCUGAGUGAGCACUUCCAGGGAGAAGCUACUAGAAACUCAGGCUAAUCAGACACCUGCCUGCCUGCAUUCCAGAUGAUGAUCACAAACCAAAGGCAGAGGGAGCACAGGCUUUGCAAAGGAAGUAACCCUUGGUGUAAAAUUGUCGGGGGAGGGGGAGUGGGUGGGUAUGGAGGAGGCAUGGGUAGUUCCCCCUCUUCACUCCCUCACCCUCAGCCAUCAGCCAGGACACUGCUCUGAAACAGGAGAGUAAUUUGGGGCUGAUCCUGUCCAGCCUGAGAGAGACAGAGGCCAGCCUGCUGUCAGAGAUAACAACGGCUGUUGGAAGGCAAGUCUGGGGGAAAUAUUUUAAUAAAGAAUCCUGGGAAUUCCAGUUCCAGUUGGAGCGGGCCCCAAGGGGGCAAGUCAGGAGCAUGAAUGGAAAUUUGCAGCCUGAAUUAACCCCAAAGACGACAGUCCCAUGGCUGGAAACCAUGCAUGCCUCCCACAUACCUGCCAUUCACCCAUGGGACAGAAAGGCACAGUGGGGUGGGGGUGGGGGUAUGAAAUACUGCUCAGCACACAGGAAGGGGUCCAAAGACCCCCCUCCCUCUGACCCUCACCCCCAGGCCAUGAGUGCACAACUCCCGUGGUGGUGGUGGGGGGGGGCACCUUCUCAUCUUGCAGAUAGUAGAUGCUCAUUGUGCUCCCUGAAUGGGUGAGCCAACAGUAGGAGCCACAAAGAGGGGGCUGAGGACCUCCCACCCAGCCUGCCAUCAAAGUAACUUGCAGGAAUUCCACUGUUAAUUCUCCGGGUCCCUAAAGAAAAGAACAUUCACUCCCACCCACAUUGGAAGAUGGCUUGCAUUGGAAGGAAAUGGUACGUAAAGACAACAUCUUCGAGCUCACUGCAAGGUGUUUUGUAAAGCUAACGUAUUUUCCUUCCCUGGAGAUGACUCGAAAACAUGAGUUUCAUUGUAGUAGGAGGCCAACUUAAUCAACAGAGGGAGCAGACAGGGGAGGGUAUUUCUGCCAGCGGGUGUACUGGGGCCGAGGGAUGGCAGUACACCGGUUCUGCUCCAGCAGAGACAGACAAGUGCCAGGCUUCUAGAAGCCCUUUCUUUGCCUGCCUGUAGAUACCUCCACUGCAAUUAUUUUAAGUUCCCCUGGAUAUUUUAAAUAUGACAUAUAACGCUGACCAAGUAAAUGUAGCAGUACAUUUCCCCAGGUUUUAAAAUUGUACUGAUGAGAACAGGGAAGAAGGGGGAGCCCUACUGGUACGACCGACUUUUAUUUUAGUUGCUAUUUAAGUGCAAAGAAAGGCUGGAAGUACCUGAUAAAUAGAAAAGGCGAGGCUCUACUACGGACCACGAGCAGAAAAACUCGGGCACUUCUGGGAGUGAUUAAUUCCCACUGCACAGAGAUGGUCUCUUGCCUUCAGCGGAGCUUGGGAAAAGCCUUCGUUUGGAAUAAGCAGCAGCUGGCUUCUGAGCCUCAGUGUUCCCCUCUGCGAAACGGGGCUGUUGGGAGGCCUAUGCGGCACCCUGCACAGGGCUUGAGAGGCUAAGAGGACUCUCCGUAAAUACUGCUUUGCAAAUUGCCACAUCAAUGCGGAGCUCUGAGCGGCACGUUGGUGUGUUUUUUCCCUGCCGAGAAUGGACUAUCCAUGGUUCCUCCCCUUAGCCUUCACCUCAACACACUCAAUUAUGGCUUCUGGAUGAUGGAAACACAAACAUUUGUCAGUGAGCUUCUGCUCAACAUUGUACUGCAUUUCUGUGGCGUCCUCCUCCCCCUGAGAGCCUGUGUUAGAGUGUGGGCAAGCAGGAGGCCCAGGCGGUGGGUCUGGGGGGCCUGGGAUAGAGUGCCGUGCAGUGGAAAAAAGACCUCCGCACGCAGCCUUUCUCCCCUGGUCUGCAAAACGUCAGAGAAUCCUGAACUGCUCCCUCAUGGCUCCAGGAGGCCCCCCUCCCAAACUUCAGGCAUCCCUGUUGAAAUACAAGAUGGCAAGGCCAUAUCCACCAUCGUUCUCUCUGCCAGCAAACUUUGGAGCCUUGGUCAGCCGGGGAAGUUUAAUGACAGCUAUACAAGUGAUCUUGGGUUUGUUUUGGGGGUUUUCCAAAGCAAGAGGGGGAAAGUAAUUUUAUUUUUAUAAAGAUGAAAAAAAUGCCCAGAAACCCUUGCCAGCCAAGCCCUUUCUUCAUAUAUAUGUAUUCCCCGCCCCCCGGCUUCUUGAUUCCUCUUACUUCCCGAGCCCCAUGAAAGGCAAGUUUACUGUCCUGGACAAAGGGUGGUUUGUGUCCUUUUGCUAUGAGACAAAUGGGAGAGGGGGAGGAAGGAAGAGAGACUCAGGGUUCAAAUAUUUCUUCUAGACAAUAUGAAGUCCUGCUGCUGCUGGAGUAGCUGCCCUGCUCCACGCAGGGGAAGAGUUAGGGAGGACUUGUGAGGUCAGUAGGGCCAAAACUGUGUCUUGGUCUCCCUGAGUGAGCCAGAGCUCCACUGAAAACCUAGCUUACCAUCUCCAACCUCAUUCGAUCUAAACAAAGAAGGGUAGAAAGAUGAACACAACUCUUGCAUGGGUUUUAUUUCCCUUUGGCUCCAAUUGUUUGUGCGUGCCACAUACUCACCUACGCUUUGGUGUGUACACUCUGAUGUAAAGAGUCUGUGUGGCUCAGUAACAGCCAGAGGGGCAGGGUCCCAGUCUAGAAGCACGGGUAGGCCAGGAAGCAGAUGCCUGUAUUAGUCUGCUACUGCUGUCAUGAUAGCAUACCAAAGACUGGGUGGGGUAAACAACAGGACUUGAUGUUUUUGCACAAUUUUGGAGGCCUGAGAUUAAGAUGUUGGUAGAUGUGGUUUUUUCUGAGGCCUCACUACUUGGCUUGUAGUUGGCCAUCUUCUCCCUGUGUCUUUACAUGGUCUUUUCUCUCUCCUGUCUGUGUCCUAAUCUCCUCUGAUAAGGGCACCAGUCAUAUUGGAUAAGGGCCUAUGAUGAUGACCUCAUUCUGACUUAAUGACCCCUUUAAAGACCCUUUGUCCAAAUACAGUCCCAUUCUGUGGUACUGGGGGUUAGGAUUUCAGUGUGUGGACUUUUUGCCAGACACGAUUCAGCCCAUAGCAGUUCCCUACAACAAAGGGGCUUGCUAGGGGCUGGGGAGAUGUGCCUAAAAUUAUGUUCUCAAUAAUGUCCCUACCCUAGUGAUGGGAACAUGGUAGGCUCUUUUUAACAGCGGUCCACUUCUGGGGCCCCUGGGUGGCUUAGCAGUUGAGUAUCUGCCUUCGACUCAGGGCGUGAUCCUGGGGUUUGGGGAUCGAGUACUGCAUUGGGUUCCCUGUAGGAAGCCUGCUUCUCCCUCUGCCUAUGUGUCUGUCUCUCUCUGUGUCUCUUAUGAAUAAAUAAAUAAAAUAAAUUUUUUAAAAAAAAAGAUGGUGGUCCACUCCUGUUCUCCAGGCAAAACACUAGGUCUCUAUUAUCAGGGGGCUCACCCUCCUCCAGGGGAGCCAUGAAAUCUCAAGCCAUGGGAAGAGACUUGGGACUCUGGGUUCAGGUUCCCAAUCUGGGCUGUACCACUGCUCACCAAGUAGGUAAGAGAUGUCAUCUUCUGAGUCUGUUCCUCAGGUGUAAAAUGGGGGUGGUUAGAGAGAGAUGAGUGGACUCAAUGAUCCAAGGACUCACUGACUCCGAGCCUUGCAGUGGUUAAGGGCAGGGUGCCAAAGUGAGGAGUAGUAAUUGGGUGUUGGCUAGAAUAACUGAGAAAGCAUUUGUGCUUGCUCAGAACUGGGUGUUUCCCAUAAUCUUUGCUUGGGCUGAAGCCAGUCAUCCUCCAUGACUGGCUGACUUUUUUGGUCAAAAGGAACUCAUCUCUCUUUCUUCUGUGCUUCCCCCCUACCCCCUCAAAACCAAACAAAGAAACUCUGCCCUUUGGAGCCAGAGCAGCACAUGCUUUGGGAGGGAAGUCUCAGAGAAAGUCUCUCUCUGCUUGUUCCCCUCAGUCAUCACCUCAUCUGCCAGGCUCCAGCUGUGGCCGACACGGCUGGGAUGUCUUUGCACAGCUCCAGAUGCUGCCCUGGAACUCUGAAGGCCAGUUACUGAGAGAGAAGGCUCUGGCAACAAAGUGAAGGAGUUAGAGCAGGAGUCAGACUAAGAUAACCCCAGCAAUGUCUCUUCCACUCUGGGUUCUGGAAUGUUCUCACGAGAGAAGCUUGCCCUGGGUUGACUGUUCACUUGGAUGACUCUUGGGGCUUUUACUUCACACAGGACCCCUUGCUGGAGUUUGAGGGCUCAAGGAAUCGCACCCUCCCCUCUUCACCUGAAUCCAGAAGUAACUGAGGAUAAGCAAAAAGGGGAGGAGAAAGUGCCCUCGGGCACAGUGCUGAGUUUCCUAAUAGAAACCAGAGAAUCAUACACAGGCCAAGGAGCAAGAGACCAAAUCUGUGUGUCCCAGAUCUCGAUCCGGCCAGAUCUGAAGGAUGAGGGAUGGAGCCCGGGGCUGAGUGAUGACCCGGCAACUCUUUCCAACAGAUAAUGGAAGAGCCUUCUGCUAAUGGAUGUUGGCCUCAUGAAAGGAAAUACCAGGAAUUGGGAAGAAAGGCCUCUCCACACUGCCGCUGUCCCCAGGACCACCACCCAAGAUAUUCAGGGUGAGAAGUCUUUACUGACACCUAAUGUGACAGAGGGGAGGUCACACUGCAGGACACUGACAGCUUAACACUGCACAUCAGCCAUUCGCCCUCUUUGUCUCUGGCAGCCCUUUGGCUAGCCCGCCACCAGGAUUUCUUCCCUGCCUUCCUCCUGGCCAAGCUGCAGCUCUUCUUGUGUUGCAGGAUCCUCUGCUCCUUGAAGACACUUCCCCCACAGCAUUUCCCUUGUUAUGCAGAGAGAAUUUUAGCUGUUCAUCCCCUCCACUGCACAUCCAAGGAGCAUCAAAGCACCCUGUCUCCCUGGGAUUUCACCCUUUGACAUCUCAGAAGAGCUAGCAGGGACUUCACCCUUUCACUCUCUCUGGUCUGUGCAAGUGGCAGGAAACAACACAGACAUUUACUUUCCUACUGUGACGAGUGAUGCCACCUCCCCUCGGAAAGCAGAAGUGCCUACAGUUAGCGUGGGUGUUUGUUAGAAUCCUUUUUAUUUACCGUAAGACCUUACCCUGAUGAGCUAAGUGCUCUCCUCGGCAUUCAACAGGGUAAUGAGAUCAAUAGAGUGAGCCUUUAUAUUAGGUCAAUGCCCAAUUAACCAAUUCUGGUUUAAUUUUUGAGAAUGGUGUGAAUUAUGGAGCUAACUUGAUUCUUUUUCUGAACAGAACCCAGAUUUCAACUCAGCUUCUUCAAUGGUCCAUUCUUUCCCCACUAAUUAAAUUGCUUCCUAAAAUAUUUGCUAGAUACGUACAUUGAUCUGGACGCUACAGGUUUUGGACUCUAAGUCAGUUGAUUAUUUGUCUGUUGCUGGAUCAAUAGCACACUUUGAAAAUUAUGAUAACCUUAUGGUAUAUUUUGGUGUCUCCUGGAGCAAAUUCUUUCAUUGUCACGCCUUUUCUCAAAUUUCUUGGCUUGACCUAUGAGGCUUUGCCUCCCGUCAAUUUUUUUUUAGAGAA